rnacentral:misc_RNA from 1 species
AUCUGAAACAUUUUAUUCCAUAAACAAAUUCCACAAUGGCUUAAUUAAUUACAUGUUAAGCACCCUUCUUGAUCAAAAUGUUCAGUUUGGUCCACUAAAACCUACUGCAUUUUAUAACAACUUGCAUCGUCAGACACUAGCAUUACUGGCUUGGAUGUUGCAAGGUAGAUACUAGAAAACCAGUUUGUCUGACACACGUUGCCAACUGAACUGAAGAAUCAAAAUUUCUAUAUGCCUCGCAAUUGCAUGUAUUUUGAUUUUAAAUUAUAAUUGAAGACAAUACUCGCUCAAAUAUGUCGUGUAUAGAAUGAAAGAAAUGACAAGCAUCAUCUUGCACAAUCCAGUAUGCAGAUAUACGAACCUGAUGUAUUGGGCAAAUCAUCAUAUUCAAAAAGAGAUAGAUGUCUUGCUGGUUUAACAUCUAAUGUCAGCACUACCCUCAUUGGCUACAACUCUAAUACUAAAUGGUCCAGAUGCAUUCAAAUGCAAUUUAUGGCUACAAAAUUAGUAACCAUGUGAUGUGCAGGACCAACCUCUUAAUUCCAGGACAUGCAAGUGCAAGGUCAAACAAUACAUUAAACACCAAUCACUAAAGAUGAAGCAAACCAUACUUGCAUUUUCAGAACAUGAGCCCCGAAAAUAACAAAAACUCAAGCCAAUGAGGUUACACAUUUGCCAAUGAGAUAGAUAUAAUUGCAGUACUUCUUGCAGUUAUUUAUAUAAACAAAUCUACCAAGUGGAAACAUUGUUAAUGAGAAGAGUACACUGGCAAAAGAUUGGCUUGAAUAUACACUUCGAAAAAUGCUAGUGUUGUUCUGAAUUUUUUUUUCUGGAAGGGAGGGAAGAGCAACAACAAAACAAACACUAGACAGCACAAUCCCUGGUGUAUGCAGUUCCAAAAUUAAUUCUUUUAGCAUAGGUUGAAAUUGCUUCUUUAAAAAAAGAUCUUUCUCAAUCCUAUUAGGCAAAGCAGUUUGAAACAACCGCUUUGGUACAAUAUAUAUUCAGAGUUCAGCCAUAACAAUAGAAACAUUAUUAGUUGAACUCCACACAUAUCAAUUAUAACAAAGAUGAUCACGAAUGGAAGUUGAUGAUAUUGAUGAGACAAACUAGAAUCAUAAUAGAAAAUAAGACAAAUUAAAAAGAAAUAGAAGGGCACAUAAUUACCUCAGGAACAUUGUCAUGUACGAUAUAAUUCUAAAAAAAAUUGGAUCUCAUAUUUGUGUUUCUCAGGAUUUAUCAUUCUUAUUUAAUGAUAAGCCAACAAUAUUUAUUUUAUGAUCAGUUAAAGCUUAGUAGAAAAUAAGAAAUCUGGGCACCAGAUGAGAUUAAGAUGCUUUCUAUUCUACAUUGUUACUCUAUCAAGGUUAUGUAACACUAACACUUAUUUUUCACAAAAUGACAAGAUAUUAAGCCUAAUUUCAAAGAGAAAAAUAAGAAAGAUUUCAAUGGUUAGAUAUGUGCUUAAAAAAAGGAAAGAGGGUCAUGUGGCAAGUAAAUUCAUAUUAGCAAGCUGUGAAACUAACGAUAAGCAUAAAGUCUUACUGGAGUAUGCACUCCAAUGAAGAACCUUUUAAAGUCAGGAACACAGGAUCAUUUCAAGCGUAAAAGCCAUAUCCUUCCAAAUGGAGAUGCCCACAAAUUGAUAUCACAAAAUAACUAUAUGAAAAUCAUUCUUAAUCAAUUUCAGAAUUUCUCUACAGCCAUCGCAUGAAAGCCAGCUGUAAAUGCAAUGCAAAUGAAUAAACUGGUUGAAUAUAAAAUUGCACUAAUUAUCAGAAAACAUAGCAAGCAACUAUUACAAACACAAACCAUUUUGCCAAAAACACUAGUUAAAAAGAUUAGUUUGAGACCUUGUACACACUAGACACUAUCCAAUAUCCAGUAUAACGGAGAGAGAUGAUCAUUUAUGAACCUGUACUAUUUUAUCUAAAAAGCGAAAAAACAGUGCAUCAACAAGAAAACAAAUAGAACACAUAAUAAGCAGUCACAUUUACCCCAUAAUAGUCAAAAUGUUCAUAGAGACCCGAUCAUUGUAACAAUGAUCCGAUUCCUACCUUAAUCGUCCCAAUUUCCAGGAAGGGCAUCUUGUUCAAUCGAUAUCUAAAGGAAUUACAACUCAAACUCAUCUUCCAGCUUCAAUUGCUCUGCUGCAGCCUCCUCCUCAUCAUCAUCGAUCACAAAGUAUGGAUUAUGCGCCUCAGGCUUAAACUUAUAUCCAGUAAACACAUAAAACGCCAAUGUCGCCAGCUCUCCAGCUAGCACGCUGGUCCAUAGAUACUUAUAAGAAGUUAUAGUCUCCAAUGCGUAUACGACCACGCGGGUAAAGUAGAUAUAGCAAAUUACCACGAUGUAAUACUGCCUAAACAGAGUCAACUUCAUCAAAUUCACUGCAGCCUUCCCGUCUGUCUUGGCGGCCUCACGUAGGUUCUUAAUGGACCAAACAAUGGGGAACAAAACAGCACAGCAGCAUACAACGUCAACCAGUAAAAAAACCUGCUUCCAGGUGAUCCAGUCCUGACCGUAUGGUCCUGUUUCAUCGAUGACUACCUGAGCCAUAUUUGCCACAACCUGGAGUGGAAUCACAAUCAUCAAAACCUUCUUCUCCUUGUCCUGCAAGUAGGGCUUCAAAAAAGACCAUCCCGUUCCAAUCAGCACAAUCAAAGUAAACAGAGUGAUCCCCUUCAAAAAGCUGAAUAUAUAAAACAACACAUCCCAUCCAUGAGCACUGCCAGUCCUCUUGAUAUAAGACUUGUCCUCUGCUUCACAUAAUAAAUUCAAAGCUUUCAUAACGACCACCGCAAGCAUGAAGAAAUGGAUUCUGAAAACGGUGAGUCGUUUCUUAUACAGCACGUGAAUCCAUAACCCAGUAAGACCAAUAUAAACGAGGGAAAACAAGAAAAAAACCCUAGGGAGAAUAGUCUUGCCGGCAGAGAGGUAAUCGCGGUUACCGUUCCUUUCGAGAUUGUACAUCGCUGAGUUGACGUCCAUGGAUACCUUAAUCGAAUUCAAGCAAUUAGCAAAAACAAGAGUAUACUGAUCGGCGUCGUUUUCAACGACGAAUACAGAGAAGUUGCUCCUGCCGUUUUCGAGAUUCUUGAAUGUGAAGACAUGUUUGAUGAGAUCCGACUGUAGAGCACAAGAGAUCUCGCUGUCCUCUAUCUGCUGGACCACGUGGAGCCAGGAGUCUCGGGUGCAGAGGAAGAAUCCGACCUUGGAAAGGUCGAGAUCAGGGUUUGGGUUAGAAAGCUGAAUGUCAGAGACGUUGAGCUCGAGUUGACCCUUGUGGGCAAAUCCAAACUCGUCGAAGGGGAUAAUCGUACGGUCAUCUGAUCGGAUUUCAGAGUACCGGAUCUCAGCGAAAGAAAGAGAAAAUAGAAGAGAAGCAACGAAAGGGAAGAGAAACAAGCAAGCCAUGGAUCUGAGAGACAGAGAGAGGUAGUUCUCAGAUCUGAGAGGUUUCGUUUCUCCUUGUGCCUUGUUUGGUUAACUUUACGAAAGAAAGAAAUUAAUUAAAAAGGAAAAUGGAAGACGCUAACCGCAUAACAAUUGGAAGGUCGGAAUUCUAGCCUUGCAGGGGGAAUCGAGCAAUGACGAGGAAGGUGAGUGGCAGAUACCCAGUGUAGGAGGUAACCUAACUCUAGUCAGUUUAAUCAGCAAUACGAGGCUUUUCACCCAAACGCAAGGUUAAAUAUGACGACUUCAUUUAUGCAACAUACGGUUGACGAAGUCUGAUCGGUUAUUUGGAUUCAGCCGUCAAUGAGCAUUGCGCGUGAAACUGAAAGCCCUGUUGACACUCUCGUUCAGAGAUGAAGGGCUUGGUUGAUUUAAUUAUUA